GCCGCCCGCCGGCUGGAACAAGGCGAAGCCGAAGUCGCUCAUUUCUAACGUGACUCAGUGUUUGCCGUCCGCGCCGAGGCGGGCCGCUCGUUCAGCACCGGCAGGGGGAGAUCAUGGUGGCUAUGGCCGGGCAGUGAGGGUUGCCUGCAUUUCAACAAGGUGAUGGAAUCCGAUUCUUUGCUUUUGUGAGGCUACAGCACCAACCCUAAUCGUAACCUAAUGUGCUACACCAAAUAUUUAUUCUUGUGCUGUUUAACUAUUACUGUUUUGUAAAUAAUCAUGAAAGUCUGGAAAUAAAGAAUAAUAUUGAUAUUUUUAUAUUAAUUGAAUCUAUCAAGAUGUGCAUAUGGUAACAUAUCAAGAGAUUAGAGCAUUGCAAGUCUUUACUUAAUAGAUGUAACUGAAGAAUGAUCAAUGGUUUUUCCCUUUAGACUUUAUUUUGUGAAAAAGUAUCCUGUAUUAUUCCAAUCACAAACAAGAGAAAAUCUGCAGAUGCUGGAAAUCCAAGCAACACACACAAAAUGGUGGAGGAACUUGGCAGGCCAGGCAGCAUCAACGGAAAAGAAUAAACAGUUGAUGUUUCAGGCCGAGACCCUUCAAUAGGGUUUUGUGUGUGUUGCCUGUAUAAUUCCAAGUGAGUUCCACUUAGUUUGAACAAGUUUUAUAAAAAUGUUAUGAACCUUAACUAGACCCUGAGAUCUGUUGUUUAAUUCUAAAAUUGUUUUAUAGUAAUGUUGAAUUCUCUUUAGAAUUUUAUAUAAUUAUUUGCAAUGAUAAAUGUUUAAAAAUCAUAACUAAAUGUUGGGCAAUGUGAAACUCAAGUUAAGCAUGCAAAUUUUGGAGAAUGUUACAACUUUGGUAAACUUUACAAAUUUAAAUAAAAUCUUACUUCAAAUUAAGAUGUUUUUCCAUGGCAAAAAAAAGCUACUUUAGAAUCAUGGUAGCUGUUGCAUAAGUGGAAUAAUACAAUGCCAAUUACAAUUUUUUUCAACCACUUUAUGUUUGAUAUAAUGGUAGCAAGAAUUAAAUUCAUGCUUGGAUCUAGCACUUUGAUAAGCUCUUUAGUUCCUCAAAACCAAAUAAAUUUUAAUAUACUUUCCUUCAAUAAUAAGUUGCGAAGGAAUAGGACUUCAUGUUCUUGAUAUGCAGUGCCAAGAGCUUGAAGGGAGAAUUUAGAUAAAGUCUUAGAAUGUUUAUUCGCACACAUCUGAGCAAUUCUUUAGUUCUGCCCACUAGAAUUUUCUAUGUAGUCUUAUGAAUAUUUCUUAAUGUUUCUUAAUCAGAGGAGACUUGUCACAGUACACUUGUAUUAUCUCUCCAAGAAGACAAAGACCCUCGCGAUGACCCAACCAAUAUUGAAGAAUGCUGGAAGCAGCUCAAGAAAACCAUCCAUUCAACUGCAAGUGCAGUGCUCGGCCACCCUAAGAGAAAAACUCCUGACUGGUUUCAAGAACAAAAUGAUUCAAUUCAAAACCUGUUGGAGAUGAAACAAAUGCUUUAUAUGUGCCACUUGAAAGAGAACUCUGAAAGAUGCAAAGCAGCAUUUAAGGCCAUGAAAGCCAAAGUUCAAAGGGAGAUCAGGGCUAUGAAGAACAACUGGUGGAAUAAGAAAGUGGAAGAACUGCAAGCAAUGUCAGACAGGAAUGACUACCAUGGGCUCUUCUCAGGACUGGAAACUGUCUGGUCCAAGAAGCAAUACAGUGGCCCCAGUAAAAGUUGCAGAUGGGAACAAGCUAGGCACUGACAGGAAAGACACCAUUGAGCGAUGGAGGGAACACUGCUGUAACCUUCUAAACCAACAAGGUGCGGCUGACUGCAGUGCAUGUGAAAGGCUCAGAACUAGACCGGUAAGAGAAGAGCUAUGUGGACUCAUCACUAUGACAGAACUUAGUAAGGCUUUAAAAGAUACCAGAAGUGGAAAGCACCCAGGCAAAAUGGCUUUCCAUCAGAUGUACUGAAGCAAGGUGGUCCUGCUCUGAAGACUGAACUGUUGAACUUGUGUAACGCUUGUUGGCAGAAUCAAUAUCUCCCUCAGGACUUCAAAGAUUCACAGAUUGUCACCAUCUACAAGAAGAAAGGUGACCGUAGUGCGUGUUUGGAAACCACUGAGGAAUGUCCCUUCUGUCCACAGCUGGCAAGGUUAUGGUGAAGAUACUGCUCAACCGGAUCAAGAUCAUCUCAGAAGAUGUGCUUCCUGAAAACCAAUGUGGCUUUAGGGCUUGAAGAGCAACCACUGACAUGAUUUUUACUUUGAGGCAUCUCCAGGAGAAGGCGGUAGAACAGCAGCAACCAUUGUAAGUUGUCUUUGUUGAUUUCUCACAAGCAUUUGAUACGGUGGACAGAGAGACACUCUGGGAAGUGCGCAAAACUUAUGGCUGUCCAGAUAGGCUGGUUACGAUGAUCAAGUUGUUUCAUGAGUACGUCUGGCAAAGUAUCUAUCAGAGGAGAUGUCAGCGAAGCUUUCACCAUCAACCACAGGGUAAAACAGGGAUGCGUUCUUGAUCCAACUUUGUUCACACUAUAUCUUGCUACAGUUUUGGAAAUAAUGGACCAUAAUUUGGACAAAGGUGUGUACAUCAGGACUCACUCAGAUGGAAAAUUGUUCAACCUGUCAAGACUCAAAGCCUCAACCAAUUCAAGAGAGAUAUGUGUCAGAGAGCUUCUGUAUGCAGACGACUCAGCCCUGAUUGCUACUGAUGUUAAUGUGAUUAAAGAAAUUAUAGACCGCUUCUCAUUUGCUGCCACUCUUUUUUGCCUAAGAAUCAAUGUCUCCAAAACCGAACUUCUGUACCAGCCUCCUCCUCUGUGUAGUCCCAGUGAGACCCAACCACAAGUCAUAUCGGUCAAUGGGGUAGCGCUGAAAUGUUCUCAUUCUUUCACAUACUUAGGAAGCACUGUGACCAACACCAACUCAUUAGAUCUGGGAGUAGGGAGGAGAAUUCAAUCAGCUACAAAAGUCCUUGGUGCUUUGCAGAAGUGACUUUGGUCUCACCACAACAUUAAAAUGGCAACCAAGAUCAAAGCUUUAUUCAACUGCAACAAUGACGUUGUAUCGGAAGCACAUCAACAAAUUGACCAAGACACAACUCAGGAAUUUACACCAAAUAUUACACAUCAAGUGGCAAGAGAGGGUACCAGAUGUGGAUGUGCCCAAACAUGCUGGGACAGUCAGUGAAGAAUCGCUCAUCACAGCCUCUCAGCUGCAUUGGACUAGUCAUGUCACAAGAAUGAGCAUGAUCGUUUACCCAGAGCUGUUCUCUAUGGCGAGCUACAUGAAGGAAAGAGGAAGCAUGGAGGUCAGAAGCUGCACUACAAAGAUGCGCUCAUGCGCCAUAUGAAGAACACUGACAUGAAUGUCAACACCUGGGAGAAGGAUGCUUUGGACAGAAGAAGUUGGUGUUGCAUUGUCAAGAAGUCAAUCCCAGCUAUCGAGGAGAAAAGGCAGAAGAAAUAAUGAAGCAGGUCAUGAACACAGACAUUUGGUACUAGACCAGUCAAAUCACAAAUGCAGCCGAUGUGAGAGACAGUGCUGAUCCAAUGCUGGUCUUGUGGCCCAUAAACGUGCCUGUAGAGACUAAACUCUCAGCACAGUCAACAUCGAAAUCAAUGGACAGCUGAAGAAGAAAGAGAGAGAGAGAGAGAGUGUGUGUGUGUGAGUGUGUGUUCACUCUUCUUGGUGCACAAAUAUAUCAGUGCUGUCCCAAUUCUGCUCACCAGACCUGGAAUAUCUAGCAGUCAAGUGCCGUCCUUUUUACCUACUGCGGGAGUUCUCUGGGGUCACUUUGGUAGCAGUUUACAUACCACCUCAGGCUAACGUCAAUCAGACUUUAGAUGAUCUGAGCAAUGGGAUCAACAUGUAUGAAACAGCACACCCUAACGCCUUCACCAUUGUUUGGGAGAUUUUGACCAGGCCAGUCUGAAAAAAUUACUAAGCAAUUACCAUCAACAGAUCACUUUCAAUACCAGAGGGAACAACACACUGGCCCACUAUUACACCACCGUCAAGAAUGCCUACCGUGCUAUUCCAUGCCCUCACUUUGGGAAGUCUGAUCACUUCUACUCCCCGAGUAUAGGCAGAAACUGAAGACUGCAGCACCAGCAGUGAGGACCAAGAAGGUAUAGACAAGGGAAGCACAGGACUGCUUUGAAUUGGUGGACUGGACUGUACUCAGGGAUUCAUCUUUGAACCUGGGUGAGUAUGCUGCAGUUGUUACUAAAUUUAAUUUUAUUAAAACUAAUUUUAUGAAUGUGUGCCUACAAAGACUUACUGUUCAUUCCCAAACCUAAAGCUGUGGAUGGAUCAGGAGGUACGUCGUCUGCUGAAGGCAAGAUCUGUGGCAUUCAAGUCUCGCAACCCGAACCUGUACCAGAAGACCAGGUAUGAUUUGUGGAGGGCUAUUUCGAGGGCGAAGAGACAAUUUUGAACGAGGUUGGAGGCAAUAUUGGACGCACAGCAACUCUGACAGGGUCUGCAAGACAUUACUUCCUACAAAGCGAAACCCAAUAGCAUGAAUGGCAGUGAUGCUUCACUACCAGAUGAACUCAAUGCCUUCUAUGCACGCUUUGAAAGGGAGAAUACAACUACAGAUGUGAGGAUCCCUGCUGCGCCUGAUUACCCUAUGAUCUCUGUCACAGAGGCAAAUGUUAGGUCGUCUUUAAAGAGAGUGAGCCAUUGCAAGGUGGAACGUCCUGAUGGCUCUGAAAUCUGAGCCAACCAACUAGUGGGAGCAUUCAAGAACAUUUUUAACCUCUCACUGCUACAGGCAGAAGUUCCCACUUGCUUCAAAAAGGCAACAAUGAUACCAGUGCCUAAGAAGAAUAACAUGAAUUGCCUUAAUGACUAUCAUCCGGUAGCAUUCAUAUUGACAGUGAUGAAAUGCUUUGAGAGGUUAGUCAUGACUAGAGUGAACUCCUGCCACAGCAAGGACUUGGACCUAUUGCAAUUUGCCUAUUGCAACAAUAGGUCAACGACAGAUGCAAUCUCAAUGGUUCUCCACAUGGCUUUAGACCACCAUGACAACACAAACACCUACGUCAGGAUGCUGUUCAUCGACUAUAGCUCAGCAUUUAAUACCAUCAUUCCCACAAUCCUGAUUGAGAAUUUGCAGAACCUGGGCCUCUAUACCUCCCUCUGCAAUUGGAUCCUCGACUGCCUAACCAGAAGUCCAUAAUUUGUGCAGAUUGGUGAUAACAUAUCCUUCUCGCUGACUAUCAACACUGGUGCACCUCAGUAUGCUUAGCCCACUGCUCUGCUCUCUAUAUACACAUGAUGGUGUGGCUAGGCAUAGCUCAAAUACUAUCUACUUGAUGGCAAUACAGCCAUUGUUAGUAGAAUCUCAGGUGGUGGUGAGAGGGCAUACAAGAGUGAGAUAUGCCAACUAGUGGAGUGGUAUCGCAGCAACAACCUGGCACUCAACAUCAGUAAGAUAAAAGAGCUGAUUGUGGACCAGGAAGGGUAAGACAAAGAAGCGCAUACCAAUCAUCAUAGAGGGAUCAGAAGUGGAGAGACUGAGCAGCUUCAAGUUCCUGGGAGUUAAGAUCUCUGAGGAUCUAACCCAGUCCCAACAUAUUGAUGUAGUUAUAAAGAAGGCAGGACAGUGGCUAUACUUUAUUAGGAAUUUGAAUUGAUUUGGCAUGUCAACAAAUAUGCUCAAAAACUUCUAUAGUUGUACCAUGGAGAGCAUUCUGACAGGCUACAUCACUGUCUGGUAUGGAGGGGCCACUGUACAGGACUGAAAGAAGCUGCAGAAGAUUGUAAAUCUAGUCAGCUCCAUCUUGGAUACUAGCCUAAAAGGUAUCCAGGUCUUUUUAGGGAGCGGUGUCUCAGAAAGGCAGUGUCCAUUAUUAAGGACCUCCAGCACCCAGAGAGCACACCCUUUUUUCACUGUUACCAUCAGGUAGGAGGUACAGAAGCCUGAAGGCACACACUCAGCGAUUCAGGAACAGCUUCUUCCCCUCUGCCAUCCGAUUCCUAAAUGGACAUUGAAUCUUUGGACGCUAUCUUACUUUUUUAAAAAUAUACAGUAUUUCUGGUUUUGCAUAUUUUUCAAAAUCUAUCAAAUAUACUUAAUUGAUUUACUUGUUUAUUAUUCUGAUUCUGAUAUACUGUGUAUAUUUAUACUGUAUAUAUCCAGUUCUCUCUUGUCUCUCUUGUCGGCCACAAUGAAAUAUGCCAGCAUCACAUCUGUAGGCAAUGAACAGUGGAUUGCAACCAUAUAGUGUGUCAAAAAGCUUUUCUCAUGUUACUUUCAUUUUUUGUUCUAUUCCUGUGAUCUCUUGAUCUCAAGUGUAAUUAGUGUAUGGAUGAGCAGAGGAGGCAGCUGAAAUAAUGUGGGAAAGAGGGGCUGCAUUCAUUGGAAAUUCUUCCCAGUGCUUGAACAGGAGGAACUAUAUCACUGAAAUAAGUGGCAUAUUAAUCAAGCUGGGACCAGGAACAUUGCAAUUAUGUAAAUGAAAGUUGACAGAAGCAUAAGUGAGGUCAUCAAAUUUGUACCUAGAAAGUAUGGAACAGAAUGCUUUCUAAAUCAUGUAAAGCAAAGAUCUGUGGAGAUUGAAGGACUUGGAAACCUAAUUGCAUUGAAGCAAAAUGCAGACAGUAUAAAUAGGAUAAUGCAAUGCUGUUAUUUAUACCUAGGGGACUGAAGUACAAGGUUGAAAGUAUGUUGCAACAUACUCCCUGAUUAAAACACAACCAGAGUGCUUCAAGUCAUUCUCAGAACCAGGGAUAAGCCAUGAAAAGGGUGAACGGUAUAUUUAGCAGAAUGACACUGAAUUUCAGAAGUAAAAAUUAGGAGAGAUUAUAUAAACCAAAGGUACAUCUAAUCCCUAAUUUAUAAGGUUGAAGGUUGAUUUGAUUAGGAAUUUGAAGAUAAGAAUACAAUGAAAGGAGAAAUGGAGAGAAAUCACUUGGUUGAAUGAAUUUGAAGUAGGUAUGAAAGUUAGAAUGACUUUUAGCAGUGAAGUUGAAAACACUUCUCACACACUCUCUUCUGUAUCUGGCAGUUAAUUUAUUUUAAUUCUGAGAUGAUACAUUACUAAAUAAUUUUAUUGGAUGUCAAGUACAGUAGUAAUUGAAAUACAGUGUAUAGAUUGGUAGAACUGGCUGAAACAUCUGCAUGACCUAUCCUUGAUCCUGUGUCACCGAUGAACUUCUCUGUAUGCCGAAUAAAUUUUCAAUUUUUUGUGUGAGAUUUCAGAUUA